rnacentral:rRNA from 1 species
UAUGACUCUCGGCAAUGGAUAUCUUGGCUCUUGCAUCGAUGAAGAGCGCAGCGAAAUGCGAUACGUGGUGCGAAUUGCAGAAUCCCGUGAACCAUCGAGUUUUUGAACGCAAGUUGCGCCUGAGACCAACUGGUCGAGGGCACGUCCGCCUGGGCGUCAUGC